rnacentral:lncRNA from 1 species
GUCGGACACACUAGGAUACGAAUCAGCAUGAAACUGUGUUGAGGAACGAACAGAAGCCUAUUUUCCGAUUUGGAGUCACCUGAUCAGAUAUCAAAAAUCUGUUUUGCCUGGAAGAGUACAGGUUUUCGAUCAAUACAGAAUACUGUGCUUUCACGUCGCUGGUUGAGUAACCGACAGUACAGAGCAAAAUGCAUCAUUUGCGUUACACCGUGAAACAGUCCAGUCGUCUUCUGUAAGCUGCAGAUGAGGGGGGGACGGGAACAUGCAGCUAGAAACAGUGGGGAGUAUGGCAUUCAUACACUUGGAAAGUCCAGUCUUUGCAAGUACGUGAGUUCAGCACGUGUUAAUGGUUCGGAUUCUGAGAGACGACAGUACUCUAUUGUGCGCAGAUCUGUUAGCAGGACACGCGCUGCUCGUCUGUCGUACGCGGCGUGCUUUCCGGGGGCAGUUAGCCUUUAUCCUUGAAUUUCACGUGUCGGCCGUGGAAGAUCUUGUGGAUAGAAGAGCCUCACUUUUGCCCAUACCGCGGGUGACGUACCCAAUGCAGUCGCGGUGAUUCGCAGAUCCACGUUUGGUCCACGUUAUUUGUGUACAUCCUGUCCCGUCCACGGGACUUGUUUAUAACCUCGCACAUUGGUUGUACCAUGUAUGGCAAUUGAGCGACCCUGCGUAGGUGAACUGUGUCAUCUCCUGGAUGUUGAACGGAAGGGCUGCCGCCUAUCGUUUUCUGGAAGAUGGGAGCAUGUGGUCAGGGGGGGGGACAGAGAAAUCAUCAGUCCUCGCAUACCAUCCUGUCGUGGAGUGUCUGAGCGCGGAGGACUCGAGCAAAUUCCCUACGUCCAAACAUGCACCUUCCCGUGUAGGGUUGCGUCUCAUGCAUCUCAAAAACCAAAGUUCAGAAGUAUCGCUGCCCCCACAGAUAAUCCGCGGGCCGCCACGGCAGAGAACGGAACAAGUCUAUCGUUUUGGACUGUCAUUUUCGCGACAAGUAAUAGCAAAGACCGGUGUGUGCCCUCAAAAAUGAAGGGGGAAAGUCACCUGCCUUCCUUUAAGCCGCCAGUCCUCGAGCGCUGCGAUGGUCCACCACCGAACGAAAACGUAAUUCUCGCCGCCAGCACUGCAAACUGCGGCAAGACCGUGCCAGUGACCCCGUUUUACACUCGACAAUGACGGAACACGAUUUGAAUGGCGCUGCCUCACGAUAUCGCACGAUACCGUGAAAGUUCGUAUGAUGCUUUGAUGACGAAUGACAGUCUGCGCGCCAAAGUUGGGCUUUUCCGCAACUCGGAUCAAGUGCACGUUUCAUAAUACGGAAGUUCUGAUGCGUUUUGGAUAGUACUGUUUUCCUCAAAACGCAUUCUCAUAUUAUACCUGGUCUAGACAAGGGCGUGAUCCUUUCGUGCACGUCGGACCUGGCCGCAUGGUUUGUCGCUGCAUGCUUGCCUGUUUGAACCUCAGAAAGAGGAACUGUCGACGAGACAACUACACGCGACAUCACGAGCGUGGCUUUAAGAUCUUCAAAGGAG